GUUGUUUCUUCUAUUUGGUCGGGCUUCUGUUUCUUUGACAUUUUCCUCAUUUCCAUUCUCAAUUUUAUCAAGGAUUUACUAUACUCAAAGAUUUUUUAAAGACAUGUACAGUUACAUAUAUGCUGUUUAUGUUACUCCUUUGCGGAAGCAACGUAAAGAAAGAGAUGGACAGCAAAUUUUAAUGUGAUUCUUGUAAAUAACUG
rnacentral:lncRNA from 1 species